rnacentral:rRNA from 1 species
GGACUACAGGGGUAUCUAAUCCCGUUUGCUACCCACGCUUUCGUGCCUUAGUGUCAGGAACGAGCCAGUUAUCUGCUUACGCCAUCGGUGUUCCUCCUAAUAUCUACGGAUUUCACUCCUACACUAGGAAUUCCAAUAACCUCUCUCGUCCUCUAGCUGAGUAGUUCAAACAAUGUAUAUUCGGUUGAGCCGAACGCUUUCACUGUUUGCUUACCCUGCCACCUACGCAACUCUUUACGCCCAGUAAUUCCGGAUAACGCUUGGAUCCUCCGUAUUACCGCGGCUGCUGGCAC